UACGAAGGUGGCAAGCGUUGUUCGGAUUUACUGGGCGUAAAGGGAGCGUAGGUGGUUAGGUAAGCCCUCCGGGAAAUCUUCAGGCUUAACCUGAAAAGGUCGGGGGGGACUGCCUGGCUAGAGGACGGGAGAGGAGCGCGGAAUUCCCGGUGUAGCGGUGAAAUGCGUAGAGAUCGGGAGGAAGGCCGGUGGCGAAGGCGGCUUUCUGGGCAUUUCCUGACGCUGAGACGCGAAAGCGUGGGGAGCGAACCGG
rnacentral:rRNA from 1 species